rnacentral:pre_miRNA from 1 species
AGCCAUCCGAAUCCAUGUUGAAAUUUUGUCAGACACCAACCCAUUAGGGCUGAUCAGACUUCCAAGAUAAGUGAAGUU